UAAGUCCCGCAACGAGCGCAACCCCUAUUGUUAGUUGCCAUCAUUCAGUUGGGCACUCUAGCGAGACUGCCGGUAAUAAACCGGAGGAAGGUGGGGAUGACGUCAAAUCAUCAUGCCCCUUAUGACCUGGGCUACACACGUGCUACAAUGGCUGGUACAACGAGUCGCAAGCCGGUGACGGCAAGCUAAUCUCUUAAAGCCAGUCUCAGUUCGGAUUGUAGGCUGCAACUCGCCUACAUGAAGUCGGAAUCGCUAGUAAUCGCGGAUCAGCACGCCGCGGUGAAUACGUUCCCGGGCCUU
rnacentral:rRNA from 1 species